GACGAACGCUGGCGGCGUGCUUAACACAUGCAAGUCGAACGAAGUGGCGAACGGGUGAGUAACGCGUAAUCAACCUGCCCUUCAGAGGGGGACAACAGUUGGAAACGAAUGCUAAUACCGCAUACUGAAGGAGGGGAUUGCGUCUGAUUAGCUAGUUGGGGGGGUAAAGGCCCACCAAGGCGAUGAGCAGUAGGCGGUCUGAGAGGAGGACUGUGAACAUUGGGACUGAGAACCGGCCCAGACUCCUACGGGAGGCAGCAGUGGGGAAGUUUCCGCAAUGGACGAAAGUCUGACGGAGCAACGCCGCGUGAGUGAUGACGGCCUUCGGGUUUUAAAGCUUUGUUAAUCGGGACGCGGUACCGGAAUAGAAAGCCCCGGCUAACUACGUGCCAGCAGCCGCGGUAAUAC
rnacentral:rRNA from 1 species